ACUUCCAUUCCUGAAUUGGAACAAGAAAACAGCCUUUUCAGAGACCAAAGAAACCUGUAUAGUACUUCGUAGUAUUUUCCUUGAUCUCUUUCUGGUCUGUAGUUUCUACAGGCAACCUUGAAGGGGUGGUGACACAGAAAGGACUUGGUUCUUUGCAGCUAUGGUGGUGCUGACUUCUCUCUCUUGCCCCGCAAACACAGAUCUGAGUGUCAAAGAUUCUUAGGGGAUUUGGACUGGUGUUUUUUUUUUUUUUUUUUUUUUUUUUU